UUAAAAUUCACUUCUUCGGUUGUAUAAGCCAUAUUUCAUGUGGCUAGUGAAAUAUGGCCUGUACAACUGAAGAAGUGAAUUUUAA
rnacentral:pre_miRNA from 1 species